CAAACUAUUAAAUAAGACUCACGCCUUAAUGAAAUAUAACCUUAUAUGCUAUUAGAUAGAGUAAUAUAAGGAAAGGGCAGUAGGUUAGUAGGGUACAUUUAAGUUUUGUACUGCAAUGCUCCUCAAAAUGUAAGACUGUAAAGCUGGAUGAAUGUAAAAUAUCACAUUUAUUACCAUUUAACCCAUUAAGCGCCAGCGCUCUCCCCUUGACGAGUAAAAUCGUCUGGCGUUAGACAGAGUAAAACACUAAAGUAGAGUGCGUCAGGGUGCAAUGUGACUCAGCGGGUUAACUAGACACAUGGGCAGAUAGGUCAGUUAACCCAUUAAGCGCCAGCGCUCUCUCCUUGACGAGUAAAAUCAUCUGGCGUUAGACAGAGUAAAACACUAAAGUAGGGUGCGUCAGGGUGCAAUGCGACUCAAUGUGUUAAACUGCAAAUGGUAAUGUAGAUUAGUUGUGCCGAGCUCUGCACUUAUUACAUUAC